rnacentral:rRNA from 1 species
GCUUGUCUCAAGACUAAGCCAUGCAUGUGCAAGUAUGAACGCUUGACCCGUGAGACUGCGAAUGGCUCAUUAAAUCAGUUAGAGUUUAUUUGAUGGUGGAAGCUACGUGGAUAACCGUGGUAAUUCUAGAGCUAAUACAUGCAGAAGGUCCCGACUGGCUCGUCCGGGAAGGACGUAUUUAUUAGAUCCAAAACCAAUGCGGGUUCGCCUCGGCGUCCCGGUCCGUUGGUGAGUCAUGAUAACUGUUCGAAUCGCUUCGGCCUCGGCGCCGGCGAUGUUUCAUUCAAGUUUCUGCCCUAUCAACUUUCGAUGGUAGGGUAUUGGCCUACCAUGGUCGCAACGGGUGACGGAGAAUUAGGGUUCGAUUCCGGAGAGGGAGCCUGAGAAACGGCUACCACAUUCAAGGAAGGCAGCAGGCGCGCAAAUUACCCAAUCCCGACUCGGGGAGGUAGUGACAAUAAAUAACAAUGCCGGGCCCUAUCGCGGUCCGGCAAUUGGAAUGAGUCCAAUCCAAAUCCGUUAACGAGGAACAAUUGGAGGGCAAGUCUGGUGCCAGCAGCCGCGGUAAUUCCAGCUCCAAUAGCGUAUAUUAAAGUUGUUGCAGUUAAAAAGCUCGUAGUUGGAUUUGGGGGUCCGGUCGCGUCGGGUGCCCUUCACGGGCAGUCCGACGGGCCGGCCGGCCGUUGGGUCGGUCGUGCGGCGCGCCGGUCCGCCGAGAGGCGAGCACUGGUCGUCGGCCCCUUUCCUCUCGGGAUUCCCGCGUGCUCUUAGUUGGUGCGUGCGGGCGGUUCCGGGACGUUUACUUUGAACAAAUUAGAGUGUUCCAAGCAGGCCGGUGCUUCGAAUACCAGAGCACGGAAUAAUGGAACAGGGCCGGGCGUCCUGUUUUGUUGGUUUACGGGACGGCAGUCAUGGUCAAGAGGGACAGUUGGGGGCAUUCGUAUUCAGUUGUCAGAGGUGAAAUUCUCGGAUUUCCG